UACGGGGGGGGUAAGCGUUGUUCGGAAUUACUGGGCGUAAAGGGCUCGUAGGCGGCCAACUAAGUCGGACGUGAAAUCCCUCAGCUUAACCGGGGAACUGCAUCUGAUACUGGAUGGCUUGAGAUUGGGAGAGGGAUGCGGAAUUCCAGGUGUAGCGGUGAAAUGCGUAGAUAUCUGGAGGAACACCGGUGGCGAAGGCGGCAUCCUGGACCAACACUGACGCUGAGGAGCGAAAGCCAGGGGAGCAAACGGG
rnacentral:rRNA from 1 species